UGCUAUUCGGAGUACGGGCUUUCCGAAUAUCCAAGAAAAAUCAUGAUCGGACCUCAUGGAGCUACUGUUGACUUGGUCAAAGGGUCGGGUUUUGCUCAAAACCCUUGAGAUACACUUCAGGGACACAAUCUUGGAGAGUGUGAAGUGCAUGUAGACACCACAGACUAAAGUUAUUUUUUUCUGAAGUACUUGUCUGUCUUCGUAAAUCAAUUUGCAUUGUACUAUUUUCUCUAUCUUGGAAUACUGUAUCAAUUUGACAGAUUUGUGAGAUUCAUAAACUGUAUUGUAAUUUGGGGUACCGUAUGUACUAUUGUGAGAAUUUAUAUUUAAAAUGGUAUUAUUAUUUAUGUUAAAAA